UGAUGCCAAAAAGGUUGGGGACUGCUGUUAUAUGAUGUUCUUCAGUUUGGCUGGUCCUGAUGAUUUUCUCAUGGUUAGACAGGGGUUGCAGAUGUCUGGGAGAAAGAACACAGAGGCCAAAUGCCACUCUCAUCACAUCAUAUCAAAUGCUUGGAUUACCUGGAUGCUUUCUGGAGAGCGUGAGUCCUGAAGAAGAUUCCACAGCUAUACUGACUCCUACAAUAUGACUAGAAGAGGUUAACCUCUGGCUUCUGCUGGGAAAUAAGUUUCUAUUCUUGCAGUCCCAUGCAUGCAAGAUGAGUCUGAAGUGUGACACAUAAGUACUGGAAGGAGAUAUUGGAUCUGAAGGGAUCGUGUAGGUGAGAAUGAAGGAACUUUCAAUGGCCUGAUGACAAAAUUGGAUGAUGGAGUUCUCACGGGAUGCAUAGUAGUCAGGAAACCUAUGUUGGGUUCAUCUGCAAAUCAUGCCAACUUGACCUUCAACGUUUUUCAAACUUCUCACCAUGACCACCAUUACCAUUCUAAGUCAUGUCUUCAUUCUUUCUCUCAUGGGGCUAUUAUAGUAGGCUCUGAAUUGCUGCCUGGUUUUUGUCCUUACACCUCUUCUGCUCCUUGAAGGCCUCCAAAUGUGCCACAUCUUACUCAGUGUGAAAGCUAAAAGCUGUGCAGUGGUCCACAAAGUUGCGAUGAACUGGCCCCAUGACCCUACCAUCUCUCUGAACUCAACUACAGGCACUUCCUCUCUCUUACUUGCUUCUUCUCACUUAGUCCCAAGGGCCUCCUUGCUGUUUCUUUGACCUUGUGGACACAUCCCCAUCUCAGGGCCUUUGCAUAUCUGAUUUGUGAAUUGAGAUUUGUAUACCGACAUACACAUUUUGCUAGUUUCAACAAUUUUAAGAUAUCUAGGAUCUACCUCCAGAAAUGGGCAAAACAAAAAACAAAAGAAUAACUCCCAGCAGCUGUAAUAGCACAUUAAGUAAACAAAUAAAAACCAACUUGAUAUAUCGAAUAAUAUUUUCCAUUUUAUUCCAGCUUUUUGAAUAAGUAUGCACAGUCCGAAGCAGCUUCAAAGAUUUCAGUCAUUUUUAGGAAGUCAUGUCUUCAGAGAGUAAAAAAUGAAUUAUUUUCUUUUUUUUUAAUGCUUUUUUUUAAUUAUUAUACUUUAAGUUUUAG
rnacentral:lncRNA from 1 species